rnacentral:rRNA from 1 species
UACGUAGGGGGCAAGCGUUGUCCGGAAUCGAUUGGGCGUAAAGAGCGUGUAGGCGGCUCGGCAAGUCUGGUGUGAAAGUCUUGCGGCUCAACCGCAAGCGGUCACUGGAAACUGCCUCGCUAGAGUCCGGAAGAGGAGAGCGGAAUUCCUGGUGUAGCGGUGGAAUGCGCAGAUAUCAGGAGGAACACCGGUGGCGAAGGCGGGUCUCUGGGCCGAUACUGACGCUGAGGAGCGAAAGCGUGGGGAGCGAACAGG